rnacentral:rRNA from 1 species
GACGAACGCUGGCGGCGGGCUUAACACAUGCAAGUCGAACGGAAAGGCCCUGCUUUUGUGGGGUGCUCGAGUGGCGAACGGGUGAGUAACACGUGAGUAACCUGCCCUGGACUUGGGGAUAACUUCAGGAAACUGGGGCUAAUACCGGAUAGGAGCGCCUGCUGCAUGGGGGGGGUCGGAAAGUUUCGGCGGUGGGGGAUGGACUCGCGGCUUAUCAGCUGGUUGGGGGGGUAGUGGCUUACCAAGGCUUUGACGGGUAGCCGGCCUGAGAGGGUGACCGGCCACAUUGGGACUGAGAUACGGCCCAGACUCCUACGGGAGGCAGCAGUGGGGAAUAUUGCACAAUGGGCGGAAGCCUGAUGAAGCAACGCCGCGUGCGGGAUGACGGCCUUCGGGUUGUAAACCGCUUUCGCCUGUGACGAAGCGUGAGUGACGGUAAUGGGUAAAGAAGCACCGGCUAACUACGUG